GCUCAAGUCGUAUAGUGGUUAGUACGCCACGUUGUGGCCGUGGAAACGGAGGUUCGAUUCCUCCCUUGGGCA
rfam:Pseudallescheria apiosperma strain IHEM 14462 SEQ_SAPIO_0090, whole genome shotgun sequence.